GAUAGCGAACUAAGGUGUAGCAAUUUACUAAGAAAUCUCUCUAUAGAGUUUCUUUUUAUCCUAAGCCUUUUUCUUUUAAACAGCUCUUGAAGAGCCAGAAAAAUUGGGUGAGACUGAAAAGUCCCCAUGCUCACUGCAGCAGCUCCCGCAGCUAGUUUCGCUUCCCCCUACUGUGUGGUCUGCGAGCACAAGCACAGAUAAAACACUAUGCUUCAAAAAAUUGUGUUGGCUAUCAACCAACACACCACCACUAGAGCGGGGUCCACAAAAUUAAGUUUCUUACUCACUAAGCACUAAGGGGACCAAGUAAAACUCUUCAACGAACAAAGCAAACAGUUUCAUGAUUUCAAACACAGUCGUCAAUCCAAGAUUUCAAACACAGUCGUCAGUCCAAAUUCAAAAACGAAACAAAAGCCCAAAAGACACUCGACAAUACCACAGAAAACAAACCAGACAAGCAAGACUACGACAAAGCAUCCAAUAACCAAUUUUCACAGAUGCCUGGUACCUUUAGUACCUUGCCCAGACUGCAGCUUAACCUUAGCUGCUUCUGGGAUGAGACGGAUCAUCUGAUUCUACCUCCCAACAGAAUUCCAAAGUAUCCACUUGCCCUAACAUCGGUCCAAUGGUCCACCAUCAACGACAAAGGGGUUAUCACAGUCUGCCCCAUGGCAAAGAAAAAGAACGCCAAAC
rnacentral:lncRNA from 1 species